UGGUAAUGCCGGAUGCUCCAGUUGAUCGCAUGGUCUUCUGGGAAAGCUUUCGCGGUAUGGGAUGGGGUCGCGUCCUAUCAGCUUGACGGCGGGGUAACGGCCCACCGUGGCUUCGACGGGUAGCCGGCCUGAGAGGGCGACCGGCCACAUUGGGACUGAGAUACGGCCCAGACUCCUACGGGAGGCAGCAGUGGGGAAUAUUGCACAAUGGGCGCAAGCCUGAUGCAGCGACGCCGCGUGAGGGAUGGAGGCCUUCGGGUUGUAAACCUCUUUUAUCGGGGAGCAAGCGAGAGUGAGUUUACCCGUUGAAUAAGCACCGGCUAACUACGUGCCAGCAGCCGCGGUAAUACGUAGGGUGCAAGCGUUAUCCGGAAUUAUUGGGCGUAAAGGGCUCGUAGGCGGUUCGUCGCGUCCGGUGUGAAAGUCCAUCGCUUAACGGUGGAUCCGCGCCGGGUACGGGCGGGCUUGAGUGCGGUAGGGGAGACUGGAAUUCCCGGUGUAACGGUGGAAUGUGUAGAUAUCGGAAAAAAAAAC
rnacentral:rRNA from 1 species